UACGUAGGGUGCGAGCGUUGUCCGGAAUUAUUGGGCGUAAAGAGCUUGUAGGCGGUUUGUCGCGUCUGCUGUGAAAAUCCGGGGCUCAACCCCGGACUUGCAGUGGGUACGGGCAGACUAGAGUGUGGUAGGGGAGACUGGAAUUCCUGGUGUAGCGGUGAAAUGCGCAGAUAUCAGGAGGAACACCGAUGGCGAAGGCAGGUUUCUGGGCCACUACUGACGCUGAGAAGCGAAAGCAUGGGGGAGCGAACAGG
rnacentral:rRNA from 1 species